rnacentral:miRNA from 1 species
UGUAUGUGUGUAUGUGUGUGUGUGUGUGUGUAUAUAUAUAUAUUUACACACACAUAUACACACACAUACACACACACACU